UGGGGAAUAUUGCACAAUGGGGGAAACCCUGAUGCAGCGACGCCGCGUGAAGGAAGAAGUAUCUCGGUAUGUAAACUUCUAUCAGCAGGGAAGAAAAUGACGGUACCUGACUAAGAAGCCCCGGCUAACUACGUGCCAGCAGCCGCGGUAAUACGUAGGGGGCAAGCGUUAUCCGGAUUUACUGGGUGUAAAGGGAGCGUAGACGGUGUUGCAAGUCUGAUGUGAAAGGCGGGGGCUCAACCCCUGGACUGCAUUGGAAACUGUGAUACUCGAGUGCCGGAGAGGUAAGCGGAAUUCCUAGUGUAGCGGUGAAAUGCGUAGAUAUUAGGAGGAACACCAGUGGCGAAGGCGGCUUACUGGACGGUAACUGACGUUGAGGCUCGAAAGCGUGGGGAGCAAACAG
rnacentral:rRNA from 1 species